UAGUGGCAGACGGGUGAGUAAUGUAUAGGAAUCUACCUAGUAGUACGGAAUAAUUGUUGGAAACGGCAACUAAUACCGUAUACGCCCUACGGGGGAAAAAUUUAUUGCUAUUAGAUGAGCCUAUAUUAGAUUAGCUAGUUGGUGGGGUAAUAGCCUACCAAGGCAAUGAUCUAUAGCUGAUCUGAGAGGAUGAUCAGCCACACUGGAACUGAGAUACGGUCCAGACUCCUACGGGAGGCAGCAGUGGGGAAUAUUGGACAAUGGGCGAAAGCCUGAUCCAGCCAUGCCGCAUGAGUGAAGAAGGCCUUUGGGUUGUAAAGCUCUUUUAGUGAGGAAGAUAAUGACGGUACUCACAGAAGAAGUCCUGGCUAACUCCGUGCCAGCAGCCGCGGUAAUACGGAGAGGGCUAGCGUUAUUCGGAAUUAUUGGGCGUAAAGGGCGCGUAGGCGGAUUAGUAAGUUAAAAGUGAAAUCCCAAGGCUCAACCUUGGAAUUGCUUUUAAAACUGCUAAUCUAGAGAUUGAAAGAGGAUAGAGGAAUUCCUAGUGUAGAGGUGAAAUUCGUAAAUAUUAGGAGGAACACCAGUGGCGAAGGCGUCUAUCUGGUUCAAAUCUGACGCUGAGGCGCGAAGGCGUGGGGAGCAAACAGGAUUAGAUACCCUGGUAGUCCACGCUGUAAACGAUGAAUGUUAAAUAUGGGGAGUUUACUUUCUGUAUUACAGCUAACGCGUUAAACAUUCCGCCUGGGGACUACGGUCGCAAGAUUAAAACUCAAAGGAAUUGACGGGGACCCGCACAAGCGGUGGAGCAUGUGGUUUAAUUCGAUGCAACGCGAAAAACCUUACCACUCCUUG
rnacentral:rRNA from 1 species